rnacentral:rRNA from 1 species
CCUACGGGGGGCUGCAGUGGGGAAUAUUGCACAAUGGGCGAAAGCCUGAUGCAGCAACGCCGCGUGAGCGAUGAAGGCCUUCGGGUCGUAAAGCUCUGUCCUCAAGGAAGAUAAUGACGGUACUUGAGGAGGAAGCCCCGGCUAACUACGUGCCAGCAGCCGCGGUAAUACGUAGGGGGCUAGCGUUAUCCGGAAUUACUGGGCGUAAAGGGUGCGUAGGUGGUUUUUUAAGUCAGAAGUGAAAGGCUACGGCUCAACCGUAGUAAGCUUUUGAAACUGAGAAACUUGAGUGCAGGAGAGGAGAGUAGAAUUCCUAGUGUAGCGGUGAAAUGCGUAGAUAUUAGGAGGAAUACCAGUUGCGAAGGCGGCUCUCUGGACUGUAACUGACACUGAGGCACGAAAGCGUGGGGAGCAAACAGGAUUAGAUACCCUUGUAGUC